UAGGGAAUCUUCCACAAUGGGGCGAAAGCCUGAUGGAGCAACGCCGCGUGUGUGAUGAAGGGUUUCGGCUCGUAAAACACUGUUGUAAGAGAAGAAUGACAUUGAGAGUAACUGUUCAAUGUGUGACGGUAUCUUACCAGAAAGGACGGCUAAAUACGUGCCAG
rnacentral:rRNA from 1 species